GUGCAAUUUUGUAAUUAGUCAUGUCAUUGUUAUCCAUUAGAAAAAUUUGACUAAACAUAUUUACUACAAAUAAGUGUGUUAUUUAACUGAGACUUAGAGGAAAAAUCUUUUAAAAUCCUUGAAAUUAUUGUGUCAUCUUAUCACCAAGAAAGAAAACUUAAUAAAGCAAGGGAAGUCUUCUAAUAUGAAGGCAGCGACAGAUGCCAAAAAUUCGUCAAAAUUAGAAUUUGUGGAUUGAUUAAUAAAUUGAUUGAAAGAUCUAAUGAACAUCCUGGAAAACAAAUUGUGAUUCAAAGUAAGAUAAAUAUGAAAAUGAAUUUGAAAAGAUCGUUGAUGAAGAGGGAAAUUAAAAAAUUUCCAUAUUGAAUUUAGAACAAUCCAAAUUUCAAAUUAAAACGCAUUAUCGACGAAACCGUUAUCAAUACAAUUGCCCAACAACAGAUCAACAGUGUCUACAAUGUUAACGACCCUUGUGGACUGUCUGCGUGCCUUGGUCCAGAUUAUAAAUUGAGACCUGACGUUUCACUGCAGUAAUCACUGAAGAUGUGAGCGGCAGUUAUCCACGAAACGUCUGCUUAUUUUUUUAUAGAUUUAUGAAGUCUGAUAAAAUCAUACCUUAAAUGCAUUCUAAUGUGAUGUAAGACGUGUUAAGCCUUUCCCAAAUCGAGUAAUACAUUUGGCAUAAUAAUCAGGCGAAGAAUUUAUCGAAUUUUCUUACGACACUAUUCAAAAAUUUUUGAGCCUAAAGAAGUUUUUCACAAGCUUCAGAAGUUCCAGUAAAUAAAAAGGCUACUGUUCAUUGAGUGUUAAUUACUUUUCGAUAACAUUAAAAAGGAUCAAAACAAUGUAUACCGAUCUCUGUUGGAACUUCUUUGGAAUAUCGUUUUAGGUCAAAAGAAUACAUCGGAUUUGCGCAUACGUUGAUACUACUCUUUGCCAAAAAGAAAGUUGUUUCCCAUAUCCCAGUAA